UGUGUGUGUCUGUGUCUGUGUCUGUGUCUGUGUCUGUGUCUGUGUGUCUGAGUGAGGUUUUUGUGGAAGUCACCUUUGCAGUAUCAUGACAGUGCCAUACAAAUGAUGAUAUCAGAAGCACACAGGCUGCCAGUCUCUUCAUCCAAAGGUUAGACGUCAUCCCAUUCAGAUCUCUUACCUACCUCAAACGUGAAGGUGGAGAAAGAAACACAAGUGUCACAAACAAGGUCAACAUCGAGACAUGGAGGUAAAAGAACUGAAGACUACAUGUGAAUCCUCGUUCUUUUGGGCUUCAGUGGUGGAUAGAACUUAAAUAAUAUCUGCUAUUUUUAUUUAAAUAAACCCUGGCUAUUAUGUUCGAUUAACUGAAUGAAAAUAUAUUGUAAAACGAUAACAAAAAAAGAUCUGCCCCGCCUAGGUUUGACACUUGUAUGUUGUGUGUGAAAUAAACACUUUUUAAAAUAAAAUACUUUAUGACCUUUGUAGUCUAAUGCAAAUGAUUUCCCUUCCAAGCUGAAAUGUGUUAAACCUAGUAUGUCAUACAUAGGAGCAAUAGUAUGGUCAUGUAGUCAAAAUGUGUUCAAAAUGAAGAGUUACAAUUGAAUAUGUGAAUACAAAGUACUUUUAACCUUAAUGCGUGUUAAUCACAAGCGUAAUAGGUUCCCAUGGUAAUACAUGUGAGUACAAUUACGAGGUGAAAAACUUCCAGAUCUAAAAGACCCUGCCAAGCCAUAUGACGUCAUCUAGUCACGAUAAAAGUUAGUUAAUUAAUAUUUUCGGGCAUGAAGGAAUUACAUUCUUUAGCCUCGGCGAAUGAGCAAGUCAGAGGCAUGGCAUUCGUCAUUGUCCCCAAUAAACCUUAACCAGUGACAAAAACACGUCUACUGGGUACAUUAGCCUAUAUCGUCCUGAGACACAGGCGCGUGUUUGGAGCGAGCAAGGUUUCCUCACGUCUGCAGUGGAGAAACCUUACCCGGCCGCAAGGAGGAAGUUUAUCCAUGAGAAUUCUGUCACUGCUGGGUCGGUCAUUCAGACAAGACUUCUAAACUUGCUUCAAGUGGACAAGGGUCAUAAUUUAGAAUGAAUCAGGACAAUUAUAGCUGUUGGCGAAAUUUAAGUGUGUAGUUAUAUCCUAAGGAUUUUUUCAUAAGUUUGGCAAGUGAUUUAAAAGACACCGAGACGUUGCCCGCAAUGUGGACAUACUACACGAACAGAAUUGGACCCCCAAAGAAGAAAAAUGGAGAGAACAAAGAGGCAAUAAACUUUCCACCCAUUUGUAAUGAUUCAACAUCAAAGGCAUUACAACAGGACCUUAAAGACAAGAGGCAAACUAUACCGACAACUCAAAGACUUCAGCAGCUGUUCUUCUCCAACUCUCUGACAGACCAUGGUCCUCUUGAAAGACAGCUAAAAGUAAAAACGGUAAGGUUCAUACAGAAUUUAGGAGUUCACAGACAUUAAAACAAAAAUCCAGCAACUUUCCUGCCUUCGUCUGUGUUUAUAUGAUAGAAAUCUGAGCGUCGGUCAAAAGUCUCUCAUGCCAAAGUGAGUGAAAAAACGG